GAGUGAUUCAAAGAUAUGCGUUUGUGGACUUGGGGUCUCAGAGAGAGCAUUCUGUGUAUUUUACAUAAUGCCCUUUGAAAUCCUAAAUGUACAAGGGCUCAAACAAAUGUGAAAUUA
rnacentral:precursor_RNA from 14 species